GUUAGGCUCAAAACUGAAAAAUCAACUUAUAAAAUGGAGGGGAGGAAGAGAAGGAAUAGGAUGCGUUUGAAGAUGGUGGCUUGGAAAACCUGGUUUUGCUUGAAGCAGUCUUGCCUCAUCCCAACCAAGUGUUUUCUGAUCAAGCUUACUUUGCGCUCAAGGCACAAACAGAAAGGAAAUGGGAAUGGAUUGGUGAGUUUGUACAAAGAUAUUGAAACUUGUGGCGAGUAUGCAGAUAUAAAAGUGAUGUGGGAGAUGAUUCAUUCUUGUCCUCAGAAUUCAAACAACAGUACUGAAAGGAGGAAGAGGUCUUCUUCUUAUUGGAGAUUUUGUGUACAUCCUAGUACAUGAGUUCUGUAAUUAGCUUUUGAUGUUUCUGUGAUCGCUGUGAUUAGAGAUCGAUCUAAGUUUUGAUUCUGGAGGAUGUGACAUGUAAAUAUCAGCAGCAUCUGAGUAUUAAAAGAUGAGUGUGUCUAGUUUAA